rnacentral:rRNA from 1 species
AACGCGAAGAACCUUACCAGGGCUUGACAUAUUGGUGAAGCGGGGGAAACCUCGUGGCCGAGAGGAGCCAAUACAGGUGGUGCAUGGCUGUCGUCAGCUCGUGUCGUGAGAUGUUGGGUUAAGUCCCGCAACGAGCGCAACCCUUAUCAUUUGUUGCCAGCACGUUAUGGUGGGAACUCAAAUGAGACUGCCGCGGACAACGCGGAGGAAGGCGGGGAUGACGUCAAGUCAUCAUGCCCCUUAUGUCCUGGGCUACACACGUACUACAAUGGGAUGGACAGAGAGCAGCGAACCCGCGAGGGCAAGCGAACCCCAUAAACCAUCUCCCAGUUCGGAUUGCAGGCUGCAACCCGCCUGCAUGAAGUCGGAAUCGCUAGUAAUCGCUGGUCAGCAUACAGCGGUGAAUACGUUCCCGGGUCUUGUACACACCG